UGCAGUCGAGCGGUAGAGAGAAGCUUGCUUCUCUUGAGAGCGGCGGACGGGUGAGUAAUGCCUAGGAAUCUGCCUGGUAGUGGGGGAUAACGUUCGGAAACGGACGCUAAUACCGCAUACGUCCUACGGGAGAAAGCAGGGGACCUUCGGGCCUUGCGCUAUCAGAUGAGCCUAGGUCGGAUUAGCUAGUUGGUGGGGUAAUGGCUCACCAAGGCGACGAUCCGUAACUGGUCUGAGAGGAUGAUCAGUCACACUGGAACUGAGACACGGUCCAGACUCCUACGGGAGGCAGCAGUGGGGAAUAUUGGACAAUGGGCGAAAGCCUGAUCCAGCCAUGCCGCGUGUGUGAAGAAGGUCUUCGGAUUGUAAAGCACUUUAAGUUGGGAGGAAGGGUUGUAGAUUAAUACUCUGCAAUUUUGACGUUACCGACAGAAUAAGCACCGGCUAACUCUGUGCCAGCAGCCGCGGUAAUACAGAGGGUGCAAGCGUUAAUCGGAAUUACUGGGCGUAAAGCGCGCGUAGGUGGUUUGUUAAGUUGGAUGUGAAAUCCCCGGGCUCAACCUGGGAACUGCAUUCAAAACUGACUGACUAGAGUAUGGUAGAGGGUGGUGGAAUUUCCUGUGUAGCGGUGAAAUGCGUAGAUAUAGGAAGGAACACCAGUGGCGAAGGCGACCACCUGGACUAAUACUGACACUGAGGUGCGAAAGCGUGGGGAGCAAACAGGAUUAGAUACCCUGGUAGUCCACGCCGUAAACGAUGUCAACUAGCCGUUGGAAGCCUUGAGCUUUUAGUGGCGC
rnacentral:rRNA from 1 species